GAACGCGCUUCCCUAUAGAGGG
rnacentral:miRNA from 1 species